rnacentral:lncRNA from 1 species
AGAGUAAAGGUGAUGCCGCACAGACCUUGUAGAAUUUUACACAUCGUGGAAAAGCCUGACCAAGUGUGAACUCUGUAGCACAGAUUGAACCAUAGCACAGAUCAAAUCCUAACACCUGAUCUGACAUUUCAUUCCAUUAUGUCCUGUGAUCGCACACAGUUGCCUAUCUGUUCCCGUCCAUCCUGUCUGGCAAUGGCAAAUCACGGUCUCCAGGGUCAUUUAAAGGGAUGCUGUGUUCAGGGUGAACUCGUUCUACCUGCUCUUUGGUUUACGAAGGACUGCAGCGAAGUGAACUAGCGAUGGAUAAGUACAGCUGCCUUCCUAUUUCAAGGAAAGACGCCAAGGUAAUUUUGACCCAGAGGAGCAAUGAUGUAGCCACCUCCUAACCUUCCCUUCUUGAACCCCCAGGUCCCCUCUUGCUGUUGGCUGCACAUCAGGAAGGCUGUGAUGGGAAUGAAGGUGAAAACUUGGAGAUUUCACUUCAGUCAUUGCUUCUGCCUGCAAGAUCAUCCUUUAAAAGUAGAGAAGCUGCUCUGUGUGGUGGUUAACUCCAAGAGGCAGAACUCGUUCUAGAAGGAAAUGGAUGCAAGCAGCUCCGGGGGCCCCAAACGCAUGCUUCCUGUGGUCUAGCCC